GACGGAGGAUGCAAGCGUUAUCCGGAAUUAUUGGGCGUAAAGCGUCUGCAGGUGGCAGUUCAAGUCUGCUGUCAAAGACCGGGGCUUAACUUCGGAAAGGCAGUGGAAACUGAACAGCUAGAGUAUGGUAGGGGCAGAGGGAAUUCCUGGUGUAGCGGUGAAAUGCGUAGAGAUCAGGAAGAACAUCGGUGGCGAAGGCGGCCUGCUGGGCAGUAGCUGACACUGAGGCGCGACAGCGUGGGGAGCAAACAGG
rnacentral:rRNA from 1 species